rnacentral:rRNA from 1 species
AGUCUCAGUUCGGAUCGGAGUCUGCAACCCGACUCCGUGAAGCUGGAUUCGCUAGUAAUCGCGCAUCAGCCAUGGCGCGGUGAAUACGUUCCCGGGCCUUGUACACACCGCCCGUCAAGCCAUGGAAGCCGGGGGGUGCCUGAAGUGUGCAGCCGCAAGGAGCGCCCUAAGGUAAAACCGGUGACUGGGGCUAAGUCGUAACAAGGUAGC